AUCCCUGUAGCGCAAUGAGCAACGCGUUAUACUUUUACUACAAAGGCCGUGGGUUCGAAUCCCACCUAGGAUG